rnacentral:rRNA from 1 species
GGAGGGUCCGAGCGUUAUCCGGAAUCAUUGGGUUUAAAGGGUGCGCAGGCGGUAAAGUAAGUCGGUGGUGAAAACCCUUCGCUCAACGAAGGAACUGCCAUUGAUACUGCUAUACUUGAAUAUAGUCGAAGUGGGCGGAAUGUGACAUGUAGCGGUGAAAUGCUUAGAUAUGUCACGGAACACCGAUAGCGAAGGCAGCUCACUAGACUAACAUUGACGCUCAUGCACGAAAGCGUGGGGAGCGAACAGGAUUAGAUACCCUGGUAGUCCACGCUGUAAACUAUGAUUACUCGUUCUCGGCGAUAUACGGUCGGGGACUAAGCGAAAGUGAUAAGUAAUCCACCUGGGGAGUACGGUCGCAAGAUUG